CCUACGGGUGGCAGCAGUUCGGAAUAUUCGGCAAUGGGCGCAACCCUGACCCAGCCAUGCCGCGUGAGUGAAGAAGGUCUUCGGAUUGUAAAGCUCUUUUGGUCGUGACGAAGAUGACGGUAGCUUCUAAAGAAGCACCGGCCAACUUCGUGCCAGCAGCCGCGGUAAUACGAAGGGCGCGAGCGUUGUUCGGAAUUACGGGGCGGAAAGGGAGUGUAGGCGGGUAUGUAAAAUAGCGGGGAAAUGCCCGGGCUCAACCCCGGAACUGCCAUUAAGACUGGGUAUCUAGAGUAAUGGAGAGGAUAGCGGAAUCCCCAGUGUAGAGGUGAAAUUCGUAGAUAUAGGGUAGAACACCGGUGGCGAAGGCGGCUCUCUGGCCAUUUACUGACGCUGAGGCUCGAAAGCGUGGGGAUCAAACAGGAUUAGAUACCCCUGUAGUC
rnacentral:rRNA from 1 species